UCUGUCUGUGUGUAGAAACAAAGCAGUUAUCAUAGUACUGUCUGUCUGUCUGUGUGUAGAAACAAAGCAGUUAUCAUAGUACUGUCUGUCUGUCUGUGUGUAGAAACAAAGCAGUUAUCAUAGUACUGUCUGUCUGUCUGUGUAAACAAAGCAGUUAUCAUAGUACUGUCUGUCUGUCUGUGUGUAGAAACAAAGCAGUUAUCAUAGUACUGUCUGUCUGUCUGUGUGUAGAAACAAAGCAGUUAUCAUAGUACUGUCUGUCUGUCUGUGUGUAGAAACAAAGCAGUUAUCAUAGUACUGUCUUACUGUCUGUCUGUCUGUGUGUAGAAACAAAGCAGUUAUCAUAGUACUAUGCAACAACAUGUUAAUACAGCCCAUUUUCUCUGAGAUGCUUAAUGCUUGGUCCUGGACAAACCUUUCCAUGAUUUAACAAAAU